rnacentral:rRNA from 1 species
AACUCCGGGAAACCGGAGCUAAUACCGGAUAGUUCCUUGAACCGCAUGGUUCAAGGAUGAAAGACGGUUUCGGCUGUCACUUACAGAUGGACCCGCGGCGCAUUAGCUAGUUGGUGAGGUAACGGCUCACCAAGGCGACGAUGCGUAGCCGACCUGAGAGGGUGAUCGGCCACACUGGGACUGAGACACGGCCCAGACUCCUACGGGAGGCAGCAGUAGGGAAUCUUCCGCAAUGGACGAAAGUCUGACGGAGCAACGCCGCGUGAGUGAUGAAGGUUUUCGGAUCGUAAAGCUCUGUUGUUAGGGAAGAACAAGUGCAAGAGUAACUGCUUGCACCUUGACGGUACCUAACCAGAAAGCCACGGCUAACUACGUGCCAGCAGCCGCGGUAAUACGUAGGUGGCAAGCGUUGUCCGGAAUUAUUGGGCGUAAAGGGCUCGCAGGCGGUUUCUUAAGUCUGAUGUGAAAGCCCCCGGCUCAACCGGGGAGGGUCAUUGGAAACUGGGAAACUUGAGUGCAGAAGAGGAGAGUGGAAUUCCACGUGUAGCGGUGAAAUGCGUAGAGAUGUGGAGGAACACCAGUGGCGAAGGCGACUCUCUGGUCUGUAACUGACGCUGAGGAGCGAAAGCGUGGGGGAGCGAACAAGGAUUAGAUACCCUGGUAGUCCACGCCGUAAACGAUGAGUGCUAAGUGUUAGGGGGUUUCCGCCCCUUAGUGCUGCAGCUAACGCAUUAAGCACUCCGCCUGGGGGAGUACGGUCGCAAGACUGAAACUCAAAGGAAUUGACGGGGGCCCGCACAAGCGGUGGAGCAUGUGGUUUAAUUCGAAGCAACGCGAAGAACCUUACCAGGUCUUGACAUCCUCUGACAACCCUAGAGAUAGGGCUUUCCCUUCGGGGACAGAGUGACAGGUGGUGCAUGGUUGUCGUCAGCUCGUGUCGUGAGAUGUUGGGUUAAGUCCCGCAACGAGCGCAACCCUUGAUCUUAGUUGCCAGCAUUCAGUUGGGCACUCUAAGGUGACUGCCGGUGACAAACCGGAGGAAGGUGGGGAUGACGUCAAAUCAUCAUGCCCCUUAUGACCUGGGCUACACACGUGCUACAAUGGACAGAACAAAGGGCUGCGAGACCGCAAGGUUUAGCCAAUCCCACAAAUCUGUUCUCAGUUCGGAUCGCAGUCUGCAACUCGACUGCGUGAAGCUGGAAUCGCUAGUAAUCGCGGAUCAGCAUGCCGCGGUGA